CGGUGAUUAAUACCGGAUACUCCUUCUUGUUAUAAGACAAGUCGGGAAAGUUUUUCGCUAAGGGAUCAGUCUAUGUUCCAUCAGCUUGUUGGUGAGGUAAUGGCUCACCAAGGCUAUGACGGAUAUCUGGUUUGAGAGGAUGAUCAGACACACUGGAACUGAGACACGGUCCAGACUCCUACGGGAGGCAGCAGUGAGGAAUAUUGCACAAUGGAGGAAACUCUGAUGCAGCAACGCCGCGUGGAGGAUGACGCAUUUCGGUGUGUAAACUCCUUUUAUUAGGGAAGAUAAUGACGGUACCUAAUGAAUAAGCACCGGCUAACUCCGUGCCAGCAGCCGCGGUAAUACGGAGGGUGCAAGCGUUACUCGGAAUCACUGGGCGUAAAGGGUGCGUAGGCUGGCUUUUAAGUCAGAUGUGAAAUCCAAUGGCUCAACCAUUGAACUGCAUUUGAAACUGAAAGCCUAGAGUUCAGAAGGGGCAGAUGGAAUUAGUGGUGUAGGGGUAAAAUCCGUAGAUAUCACUAGGAAUAUCAAAAGCGAAGGCGAUCUGCUGGGA
rnacentral:rRNA from 1 species